rnacentral:rRNA from 1 species
CCUACGGGUGGCAGCAGUGGGGAAUAUUGGGCAAUGGGCGCAAGCCUGACCCAGCAACGCCGCGUGAAGGAAGAAGGCUUUCGGGUUGUAAACUUCUUUUCUUAGGGACGAAGCAAGUGACGGUACCUGCGGAAUAAGCCACGGCUAACUACGUGCCAGCAGCCGCGGUAAUACGUAGGUGGCAAGCGUUAUCCGGAUUUACUGGGUGUAAAGGGCGUGUAGGCGGGACGGCAAGUCAGAUGUGAAAACCAUGGGCUCAACCUAUGGCUUGCAUUUGAAACUGUAGUUCUAGAGUGCUGGAGAGGCAGGCGGAAUGCCUGGUGUAGCGGUGAAAUGCGUAGAGAUUAGGAGGAACACCAGUGGCGAAGGCAGUCUGCUGGACAGCUACUGACGCUGAGGCGCGAAAGCGUGGGGAGCAAACAGGAUUAGAUACCCGAGUAGUC